GUUUUCACGGCAGAGUUAAAGAUGCCAUCUGGAUCCGUAUAAAUCGAGUCCCCGCCGCGGGGCUGGCACUCCAUUACAAUGAAAGAUUUUAGCGCACUUUACAACCUCCCCGGCCCGCGCCGACAGCAGACAGUAGAAGAGAGCUCACGUGUUUAAAUGCUCCUCCAUACCAAACCAAACCAACCAAAACUCUUCUUGUAGAAAGUAAUCCCCUGGAAUGUCAAGACAAACUUCCCCAUGGUUAACUGCCUCUGAAUCACCCACUGCUGCAAUCACCUUCUCUAAGAAAUUCACCAGGGGCCCAAAUCAACACAUUUC